CUUCAAGGUUGACCUCGGAUCAGGUAGGGAUACCCGCUGAACUUAAGCAUAUCAAUAAGCGGAGGA
rnacentral:rRNA from 2 species